UACGUAGGGGGCAAGCGUUGUCCGGAAUCAUUGGGCGUAAAGCGCGUGUAGGCGGCCCGGUAAGUCCGCUGUGAAAGUCGGGGGCUCAACCCUCGAAUGCCGGUGGAUACUGUCGGGCUAGAGUACGGAAGAGGCGAGUGGAAUUCCUGGUGUAGCGGUGAAAUGCGCAGAUAUCAGGAGGAACACCGAUGGCGAAGGCAGCUCGCUGGGACGGUACUGACGCUGAGGCGCGAAAGCGGUGGGAGCAAACAGGAUUAGAUACC
rnacentral:rRNA from 1 species